rnacentral:rRNA from 1 species
GGGAUGGACAUACCUCUGGUGUACCAGUUGUCGUGCCAACGGCAUAGCUGGGUAGCUAUGUAUGGACGGGAUAAGUGCUGAAAGCAUCUAAGCAUGAAGCCCCCCUCGAGAUGAGAUUUCCCAACUUCGGUUAUAAGAUCCCUCAAAGAUGAUGAGGUGAAUAGGUUCGAGGUGGAAGCGUAGCGAUACGUGGAGCUGACGAAUACUAAUCGAUCGAAGACUUAAUCAA